UCUUUGAAAUCGACAGCAACGUCUCCUAUGUGAGCAAGCCACCAACACCACAAACACGAUCAAGAUCAAAAGGGGGCAAGUCUGUCACUGUCCAUGUGACAAAGAGACGUGGACAGUCCCAGUUAAAGGCAGGAAAACAACACAAAGAGUGAGAGAAGGCAAAGGAGGAGAAAGGUGAGAGGGUAGGACUUAAAGCAACACAUUAACGCAAGACAUUAUCAGCCCCCUCUCUGCUUAUAUGUGCAUCAAUCUCAUGACACAGUCUCAAAGGAGAGUUCCCUGCUCUAAACUCUGAAUUAGGUGGUUAACACCUCUGCAGCAGUUUGUUUUCUUCACACAGGAGUUGAAGGUGACAGCUGUGGACUGUCAGCAGUAUAGACUCCGAUCGUCACCUCAUUCAGCCUUUCUGUCUGCGAACACAAACCAAGAUAAGACAAGGUCUCUGUUGGUUGAUACUCAUUUUUCAUCUCCCAUG